rnacentral:rRNA from 1 species
AUUGAACGCUGGCGGCAGGCCUAACACAUGCAAGUCGAACGGCAGCACAGAAGAGCUUGCUCUUUGGGUGGCGAGUGGCGGACGGGUGAGUAAUGUCUGGGAAACUGCCCGAUGGAGGGGGAUAACUACUGGAAACGGUAGCUAAUACCGCAUAACGUCGCAAGACCAAAGUGGGGGACCUUCGGGCCUCACACCAUCGGAUGUGCCCAGAUGGGAUUAGCUAGUAGGUGGGGUAAUGGCUCACCUAGGCGACGAUCCCUAGCUGGUCUGCGAGGAUGACCAGCCACACUGGAACUGAGACACGGUCCAGACUCCUACGGGAGGCAGCAGUGGGGAAUAUUGCACAAUGGGCGCAAGCCUGAUGCAGCCAUGCCGCGUGUAUGAAGAAGGCCUUCGGGUUGUAAAGUACUUUCAGCGGGGAGGAAGGCGGUGAGGUUAAUAACCUUGCCGAUUGACGUUACCCGCAGAAGAAGCACCGGCUAACUCCGUGCCAGCCGCCGCAGUAA